AGUACGGUCGCAAGAUUAAAACUCAAAGGAAUAGACGGGGACCCGCACAAGCGGUGGAGCAUGUGGUUUAAUUCGACGAUACACGAAGAACCUUACCUGGACUUGACAUAGUAAGAACUUUCUAGAGAUAGAUUGGUGUCUGCUUGCAGAAACUUAUAUACAGGCGCUGCACGGCUGUCGUCAGCUCGUGUCGUGAGAUGUUGGGUUAAGUCCCGCAACGAGCGCAACCCUCGUCAUUAGUUGCUAACAGUUCGGCUGAGAACUCUAAUGAGACUGCCUACGCAAGUAGGAGGAAGGUGAGGACGACGUCAAGUCAUCAUGGCCCUUACGUCCAGGGCUACACACGUGCUACAAUGGGAUAUACAAAGAGCAGCAAUACGGUGACGUGGAGCAAAUCUCAAAAAUAUCUCCCAGUUCGGAUUGUAGUCUGCAACUCGACUACAUGAAGUUGGAAUCGCUAGUAAUCGUAGAUCAGCUAUGCUACGGUGAAUACGUUCCCGGGUCUUGUACUCACCGCCCGUCACACCAUGGGAGUUGAACUCAUUCGAAGCGGGGAUGCUAAGAUAGCUACCUUCCACAGUGGAUUCAGCGACUGGGGUG
rnacentral:rRNA from 1 species